rnacentral:lncRNA from 1 species
ACAAAGCAGACUGCCCACAAAUCCACCCAUGGUAAAGCACCCAGGAAACAACUGGCUACAAAAGCUGCUCACAAGAGUGCACCCUCUACUGGAGGGGUGAAGAAACCUCAUAGUUACAGGCCUGGUUCUGUGGCACUCUGAAAUCAGACUCUAUCAGAAGUCCACUGAACUUCUGACUCACAAGCUCCCCUUUCAGCUUCUGGUGCAAGAAAUUGCUCAGGACUUCAAAACAGAUCUGUGCUUCCAGAGUGCAGCUAUUGGUGCUUUGCAGGAGGCAAGUGAUGCCUAUCUGGUUGGUCUUUUUGAAGAUACCAGCCUGUGGGUGGGCUAUCCAUGCCAAACGUGUAACAAUUAUGCCAAAAGAUAUCCAGCUAGCAUACCGCAUACACGAAGAACAUGCUUA